UGAUCAAUUGAUUAAUUGAAUUUACACUUUUGUAGUGAAUUUUGAUUGCUAAUUUUGUAGAUCUGUUCGUUGAUUUUGUUUGGUUCAGAUCAAUUUUUAUUGACGUAGUUGAACCGAUCGAAAGAUGUUUGGAAGAGCACCGAAGAAGAGUGAUAAUACUAAGUAUUAUGAGAUCUUAGGAGUUCCUAAGGCUGCUUCUCAGGAAGAUCUCAAAAAGGCUUAUCGUAAAGCCGCCAUCAAAAAUCAUCCUGAUAAGGGAGGCGAUCCUGAAAAGUUUAAAGAGCUUGCUCAAGCUUAUGAGGUCUUGAGUGACCCAGAGAAGCGUGAGAUAUAUGAUCAGUAUGGAGAGGAUGCUCUAAAGGAAGGAAUGGGUGGUGGAGGUGGUGGACAUGACCCAUUUGAUAUAUUUCAAUCAUUCUUUGGUGGUGGUGGAAGCCCCUUUGGUGGUGGGGGAAGCAGCAGAGCUCGCAGACAAAGAAGAGGAGAGGAUGUUAUCCACCCUCUCAAGGUUUCUUUGGAGGAUCUUUACAAUGGGACAUCAAAGAAGCUUUCACUAUCUCGCAAUGUGUUGUGCUCAAAGUGCAAGGGUAAAGGGUCCAAGUCAGGUGCUUCAAUGAAGUGUUCUGGCUGUCAAGGGUCUGGAAUGAAAGUUUCUAUCAGACAGCUCGGUCCAUCCAUGAUCCAGCAGAUGCAGCACCCUUGCAAUGAGUGUAAGGGUACUGGUGAGACAAUCAGUGACAAAGAUAGGUGCCCUCAGUGUAAGGGUGAGAAGGUUGUGCAGGAGAAGAAGGUGUUGGAAGUUCACGUGGAGAAGGGUAUGCAGAAUGGGCAGAAAGUAACAUUUCCUGGCGAGGCAGAUGAAGCGCCAGAAACCAUCACUGGAGACAUUGUUUUUGUUUUGCAACAAAAGGAACAUCCUAAGUUCAAGCGAAAGGGAGAUGAUCUUUUUGUUGAGCACACAUUGACCUUGACCGAGGCCCUAUGUGGUUUCCAGUUUGUCUUGACUCACCUAGACAACAGACAGCUGCUCAUUAAGUCCCAACCUGGCGAAGUUGUCAAGCCUGAUCAGUUUAAGGCUAUCAAUGAUGAAGGAAUGCCAAUGUACCAAAGGCCUUUCAUGAGAGGUAAAAUGUACAUUCACUUCACUGUUGAUUUCCCCGAGUCAUUAACACCAGAGCAGUGCAAGAACCUUGAGGCUGUGCUGCCUCCAAGACCCAAAUUGCAAGUGUCUGAUAUGGAAUUAGACGAGUGCGAGGAGACUACUUUGCAUGAUGUGAACAUUGAGGACGAGAUGCGAAGGAAGCAGCAAGCUGCCCAAGAGGCAUACGACGAAGAUGAUGAUAUGCCUGGUGGUGCACAGAGAGUCCAAUGUGCACAGCAGUAAUUUGGUAUUUGCUAUCUUGUGAUAUUGGGUAGAUUACUUACCAGUAAAGGAUAUGGAUAUUUUUUCUUAUGCAGACCGACACUAAGUGUGCUUACAUGUUUACGCAAUUUG